rnacentral:rRNA from 1 species
UACGUAGGUGGCAAGCGAUACUCGGAAUCACUAGGCGUAAAGCGCAGGUAGGCGGUUCGGUAAGUCUUUUGUGAAAGCUCCUGGCUUAACUGGGAGAGGCCAAAGGAAACUACCGGGCUAGAGUGUGGCAGAGGAAGCUGGAAUUCCCGGUGUAGCGGUGAAAUGCGUAGAUAUCGGGAGGAAUACCUAUGGCGAAAGCAGGCUUCUGGGCCAUCACUGACGCUGAUCUGCGAAAGCUAGGGGAGCAAACAGG